GUCUCACCUGUCCUCUCCAGUAAAGUAACACUGUCAGUAACAGGAUUAAUCGAUCGUGGAACCUGGCCCUCAGGCCUCCUAAACAAUGAGUUGAUUAGGAUGACUUUCGUCUCGCCUCACCUGUCCUCUCCAGUAUAGUAACACUGUCAGUAACAGGAUUAAUCGAUCGUGGAACCUGGCCCUCAGGCCUCCUAAACAAUGAGUUGAUUAGGAUGACUUUCGUCUCGCCUCACCUGUCCUCUCCAGUAUAGUAACACUGUCAGUAACAGGAUUAAUCGAUCGUGGAACCUGGCCCUCAGGACCACUAAACAAUGAGUUGAUUAUUGAUUAGGAUGACUUUAGUCUCACCUGUCCUCUCCAGUAAAGUAACACUGUCAGUAACAGUGUAUUAUACAGUCAAAGGCCAUCUGCUCUAUAAGGUCGUGCCGGGGUCUUCUUAACUGGGCUAUGAGAACGGGGAAGUCCGUCUGUGAAUGGGGGAGGACGAAGCACAGACGCCGGAGCAUGUCUGCCACUCUUUCAGAGCGGGUGAAGCGCGCCUCCGUUUCACGCCAGAGCAGCUCUUCCACCAAAGAUUGCUUUGCUGCCACACCCACAACGGAAGGCAGUAUAUUAUUUUCCAUCCGCUCUCUCCUGUAUACUGUAGCCCCUGUAACUCAUAGCGUCACUCCAGCAGACUGACGGUCAUAUUGAGGUGUAUUAUUGAGUUGAACUAUGUAGAGUUCAGUACGUUCCUGGGUAGGGACUAGAGUGUGUGUUGUAUUUUAAGUAGGUCUCUCUCUUUCUCUCUGGUUUGAUUUCCUGUGAAUGCUAAGGGAGAGAACAGUACCCACACACACAUUUACAUUGUCGUCAUUUAGUAGUAUACUGCCAUGUCCACUGGUAGUACAGCUAUCUCCCCUGCUGAAGAAAAACAAUGAAAAACACAACGAAUGCUGGUCACCAGCCAAAACACAAUAACCAGCUGGUGACCAGCCUUCGUUGUGUUUUAGCUGGUGACCGGCCUUCGUUGUGGUUUAGCUGGUGACCAGCCUUCGUUGUGGUUUAGCUGGUGACCGGCCUUCGUUGUGUUUUGGCUGGUGACCAGCCUUCUUUGUGGUUUAGCUGGUGACCAGCCUUCAUUGUGGUUUAGCUGGUGACCAGCCUUCGUUGUGUUUUGGACACUGGAGACCCUGCUAAGUCACAUUAUGCUGGCUUGCAAAGUGAAGUGUAAUUCCUAUGGGAAUCCAACCUGUGUGGGGAUAUCCAACAAUUAGAAUCUGUAAUCAGAAUGGCAGCCAGAGUUAGUAAGAUUUAAGAAAUGAGAAUAUCUAAACCAAUUACACGGGAACAACCAUUUCAGUGACAAAAGAUUGGAUUAUUUUCGAAAAAAAUGUAUGAUAUUUAUCUUUGUUUAGCAUAAGAUUCAUUCAUUGAUUAAUACAUGGACAAUGAGUGCACGCAUAAACAUAGAUAUUGAUACAAACAAUUCUACAAAUCUAACUGUAAUAGAGCAGGCUGGGAAAUGUUAAGUAACUUACUGGAAGCUUAACAGGCAACUAACUGUCAGUAACUUACUGGAAGCUUAACAGGCAACUAACUGCCAGUAAUUUACUGGAAGCUUAACAGGCAACUAACUGCCAGUAACUUACUGGAAGCUUAACAGACAACUAACUGUCAGUAACUUACUGGAAGCUUAACAGACAACUAACUCUGCCAGUUCCUGCAACACCAUCAGGUCAGUGAGCAUGACAGCGAUCAGCUAUAGUAAGUUACGGAAGAUCUCAUAGUAACUACUUGCAGCAAACUGACCUACUGCCAUUAAGUUAUUGAAAAAUUCACAGUAACCUGUUAAUAAUGCACAAAUGUAGAAAUGGGAGUGGAUAAAUGAGCUGCUCAGCCAUCAACAUAACGAUAAAACACCUCGAAUUGGUUCACAACACUUCCACUAUCGGUUGGCACCAAUACAAAAUAUUUUAGACCAUGCCUCCAAAUAUGCUAAUGUACACAUUACCCCCACAUUUAAAACUGCAGUGAAAGUAAUGUAAACAACAACAAGUCAUUUUACAACCAUAACACUUUAAUUCCACUGCAACUCAGUAGCUGGUAACUUACUGUCAAAUUACAGGUACAUUUUAAGCACAUCUGAAUUAGCCUAUCAAUAGAACUGUAGAACCUUUCAUUGGUUCUACAUGGAACCCGAGGGUUCUUCAUGAGAGGGUUCUACAUGGAACCCGAGGGUUCUUCAUGAGAGGGUUCUACAUGGAACUGAAAGGUGUUCCCCUACAGGGGCAAAUCAAAGGGUUCUACAUGGAACUAGAGGGUUCUUCAUGAGAGGGUUCUACAUGGAACGAGAGGGUUCUUCAUGAGAGGGUUCUACAUGGAACCAGGGGGUUCUUCAUGAGAGGGUUCUUCAUGAGAGGGUUCUACAUGGAACCCGAGGGUUCUUCAUAAGAGGGUUCUACAUGGAACCAGAGGGUUCUUCAUGAGAGGGUUCUACAUGGAACCAGGGGGUUCUUCAUGAUAGGGUUCUACAUGGAACCAGAAGGUUCUUCAUGAGAGGGUUCUACAUGGAACCAGGGGGUUCUUCAUGAGAGGGUUCUACAUGGAACCAGUGGGUUCUUCAUGAAAGGGUUAUAAAUUAGACUAAAAAGGGUUCCCCUACAUGGACAAACAACAGAAUGUCUAUUAUUUAAAUUUUUUUAAAUCUUUGUCAUACCCACAGAUCCAUUGGCGUAGAAGGAAAUUCAGGUCGCUGGGAACCGAGAGGUUGUGCGUUCAAAGUCCCAGCGAGGUUUACUCCCUCUCAAAUAAUCAGCAUGUUGCUGGUCUGCAAAACCACGCCCUUCCUUAUCAUAUUUCCCAGCAUGCUCUAGUCCAGUUAUAUUUUUAGAAGAUGUUGCAAUAUCUGUGUUUUUGCAUUCAUCAACUAACUAAUUCCUCAAUUAACUAAUUAAUCAAUUCAUGUAUCUUAUGGUCCACAAAGAUAAAUCACUGUUUCUACAAUCUGUUAGUUGUACUUUUUUAUCGGACCUGUUGCUAAAAUGGUUUAUCUAGUCUCGUUCAUUCAUGGUUCUAACCCGGCUGUCAUUCUGACUGCAGAUUACACUAAUUCACUCUGGCUAGAUUUCCAAUAGGAAUUAAAUGUAACUCUGCUGAAUGAGACUUGAUACUGGUUUUAUUUCAGCUUAUGCUGGUCUCCAGUGUUCAAAGCACAGCGAAGGCUGGUAUGCCAGCAUAACCAGCUAGACCAGCAUGGAUCAGCAGAGGUCAGCUAGACCAGCAUGGAUCAGCAGAGGCCAGCUAGACCAGCAUGGAUCAGCAGAGGCCAGCUAGAGCAGCAUGGAUCAGCAGAGGUCAGCUAGACCAGCAUGGAUCAGCAGAGGCCAGCUAGAGCAGCAUGGAUCAGCAGAGGCCAGCUAGACCAGCAUGGAUCAGCAGAGGCCAGCUAGACCAGCAUGGAUCAGCAGAGGCCAGCAUGGAUCAGUAGAGGUCAGCUAGACCAGCAUGGAUCAGUAGAGGCCAGCUUGACCAGCAUGGAUCAGCAUAACCAGCUAGACCAGCAUGGAUCAGCAGAGGCCAGCUAGACCAGCAUGGAUCAGCAGAGGCCAGCUUGACCAGCAUGGAUCAGCAGAGGCCAGCUAGACCAGCAUGGAUCAGCAGAGGCCAGCUAGACCAGCAUGGAUCAGCAGAGGCCAGCUUGACCAGCAUGGAUCAGUAGAGGUCAGCUAGACCAGCAUGGAUCAGCAGAGGCCAGCUAGACCAGCAUGGAUCAGCAGAGGCCAGCUUGACCAGCAUGGAUCAGUAGAGGUCAGCUAGACCAGCAUGGAUCAGCAGAGGCCAGCUAGACCAGCAUGGAUCAGCAGAGGCCAGCUAGACCAGCAUGGAUCAGCAGAGGCCAGCUUGACCAGCAUGGAUCAGUAGAGGUCAGCUAGACCAGCAUGGAUCAGCAGAGGCCAGCUAGACCAGCAUGGAUCAGCAGAGGCCAGCUAGACCAGCAUGGAUCAGCAGAGGUCAGCUAGACCAGCAUGGAUCAGCAGAGGCCAGCUUGACCAGCAUGGAUCAGUAGAGGUCAGCUAGACCAGCAUGGAUCAGCAGAGGCCAGCUAGACCAGCAUGGAUCAGCAGAGGCCAGCUAGACCAGCAUGGAUCAGCAGAGGUCAGCUAGACCAGCAUGGAUCAGUAGAGGCCAGCUAGACCAGCAUGGAUCAGCAGAGGCCAGCUAGACCAGAAUGGAUCAGCAGAGGCCAGCUAGACCAGCAUGGAUCAGUAGAGGCCAGCUUGACCAGCAUGGAUCAGUAGAGGCCAGCUAGACCAGCAUGGAUCAGCAGAGGCCAGCUAGACCAGCAUGGAUCAGCAGAGGCCAGCUAGACCAGCAUGGAUCAGUAGAGGUCAGCUAGACCAGCAUGGAUCAGCAGAGGCCAGCUAGACCAGCAUGGAUCAGCAGAGGCCAGCUAGACCAGCAUGGAUCGGCAGAGGCCAACUUGACCAGCAUGGAUCAGCAGAGGCCAGCUAGACCAGCAUGGAUCAGCAGAGGCCAGCUUGACAUUUAUGCUGGACUGUGUUUGUUUUGUUUUUCAGCAGGAUCAAUAGAAUACAGUCAAAUCAAUGAACUGUAUGACCUAGUAAAACCCCUGGCUGCUCACAGCAGGUUCUCAUUCAGAUGAAUGGCUUUUCACUUACAGACACAAUGGAUUGUGUUUUAUACAGCCUAGCCAAGUACAACUUCCAGCAUCUGUUUACUGUGAACACUGAGGCUGUACCUGCUUUAAGUUACAGUUUUACUGUGAACACUGAGGCUGUACCUGCUUUAAGUUACAGUUUUACUUUGAACACUGAGGCUGUACCUGCUACAGUUUUACUGUGAACACUGAGGCUGUACCCGCUUUAAGUUACAGUUUUACUGUGAACACUGAGGCUGUACCUGCUUUAAGUUACAGUUUUACUGUGAACACUGAGGCUGUACCUGCUUUAAGUUACAGUUUUACUUUGAACACUGAGGCUGUACCUGCUACAGUUUUACUGUGAACACUGAGGCUGUACCCGCUUUAAGUUACAGUUUUACUGUGAACACUGAGGCUGUACCCGCUUUAAGUUACAGUUUUACUGUGAACACUGAGGCUGUACCCACUUUAAGUUACAGUUUUACUGUGAACACUGAGGCUGUACCCGCUUUAAGUUACAGUUUUACUGUGAACACUGAGGCUGUACCCGCGUUAAGUUACAGUUUUACUGUGAACACUGAGGCUGUACCCACUUUAAGUUACAGUUUUACUGUGAACACUGAGGCUGUACCCACUUUAAGUUACAGUUUUACUGUGAACACUGAGGCUGUACCCGCGUUAAGUUACAGUUUUACUGUGAACACUGAGGCUGUACCUGCCUUAAGUUACAGUUUUACUGUGAACACUGAGGCUGGAGCUACUUUAAGUUACAGUUUUACUGUGAACACUGAGGCUGUACCUGCUUUAAGUUACAGUUUUACUGUGAACACUGAGGCUGUACCUGCUAAGUUACAGUUUUACUGUGAACACUGAGGCUGUACCUGCUUUAAGUUACAGUUUUACUGUGAACACUGAGGCUGUACCUGCUUUAAGUUACAGUUUUACUGUGAACACUGAGGCUCUACCUGCUUUAAGUUACUGUUUUACUGUGAACACUGAGGCUGUACCCGCUUUAAGUUACUGUUUUACUGUGAACACUGAGGCUGUACCUGCUUUAAGUUACAGUUUUAACAGUGGCUAACUAGUCUACUGUGUGUAUUUGAUCAUAAUGUAGACCUACCAGAGAGGCCUACCAUCAAAAACAAUGGAGAAAAUGCAUCCCAUAACAUUUUAUCAUGGAAACAGCUGUUCUAUCAUUCAGACUACAGUAUCAGCCGAUGUGGGGUGUUCUAAAAACAUACAGGACACGAACCUGUUAAUCCACUCGUCCUUCAGACAAGGAGGUGACUGUGUUGUUAAUCCACUCGUCCUUCAGACAAGGAGGUGACUGUGUUGUUAAUCCACUCGUCCUUCAGACAAGGAGGUGACUGUGUUGUUAAUCCACUCGUCCUUCAGACAAGGAGGUGACUGUGUUGUUAAUCCACUCGUCCUUCAGACAAGGAGGUGACUGUGUUGUUAAUCCACUCGUCCUUCAGACAAGGAGGUGACUGUGUUGUUAAUCCACUCGUCCUUCAGACAAGGAGGUGACUGUGUUGUUAAUCCACUCGUCCUUCAGACAAGGAGGUGACUGUGUUGUUAAUCCACUCGUCCUUCAGACAAGGAGGUGACUGUGUUGUUAAUCCACUCGUCCUUCAGACAAGGAGGUGACUGUGUUGUUAAUCCACUCGUCCUUCAGACAAGGAGGUGACUGUGUUGUUAAUCCACUCGUCCUUCAGACAAGGAGGUGACUGUGUUGUUAAUCCACUCGUCCUUCAGACAAGGAGGUGACUGUGUUGUUAAUCCACUCGUCCUUCAGACAAGGAGGUGACUGUGUUGUUAAUCCACUCGUCCUUCAGACAAGGAGGUGACUGUGUUGUUAAUCCACUCGUCCUUCAGACAAGGAGGUGACUGUGUUGUUAAUCCACUCGUCCUUCAGACAAGGAGGUGACUGUGUUGUUAAUCCACUCGUCCUUCAGACAAGGAGGUGACUGAACAUCUUGUUGUUAAUUCACUCAUCCAUCAGACAAGGAGGUGACUGUGUUGUUAAUCCACUCGUCCUUCAGACAAGGAGGUGACUGAACAUCUUGUUGUUAAUUCACUCAUCCAUCAGACAAGGAGGUGACUGUGUUGUUAAUCCACUCGUCCUUCAGACAAGGAGGUGACUGUGUUGUUAAUCCACUCGUCCUUCAGACAAGGAGGUGACUGUGUUGUUAAUCCACUCGUCCUUCAGACAAGGAGGUGACUGUGUUGUUAAUCCACUCGUCCUUCAGACAAGGAGGUGACUGUGUUGUUAAUCCACUCGUCCUUCAGACAAGGAGGUGACUGAACAUCUUGUUGUGUUGUAUUAUACAAGAAACCACUUAACAGAAUAAAAAGCAUUAUUAUUCCCAUACCAUUAUUACAGAGAAUCAGACACAUUAUGCUGCCCUCUGCCUAUUGGCUACUGAGCUUAUUCAAGCCUGUCUCACAAUGCAACACUGUCCCUUUAAGACAAAAACAAGCUCUUUACCUGACUCACUUUUCAAAGAUUUCUAGAAAUGUACAUAUUUUGUUCUCUUGUAGGAAGCAACCACUCCUCCACUGCUGACUACAAAUGAUCUGUAACUGGGCUAAUAACUCACUAACUAGCGAAGGAUGUGAACAGAAUGUACACACGUCGCUACAUGCAGCUCUGGCUUUGAUCUCAAAACAAACACAUCUACUCACGACCCCUCAUGCUGUAAACACAGUCCAGUUCACCUACUCACGACCGCUCAUGUUUUAAACACAGUCCAGUUCACCUACUCACGACCGCUCAUGCUGUAAACACAGUCCAGUUCACUUACUCACAACCUCUCAUGCUGUAAACACAGUCCAGUUCACCUACUCAUUAUUCCCCAUUCUGUAAACACAGUCCAGUUCACUUACUUACGACUCCUCAUGCUGUAAACACAGUCCAGUUCACCUACUCACAACUCCUCAUGCUGUAAACACAGUCCAGUUCACCUGCUCAAGACUCAUCAUGCUGUAAACACAGUCCAGUUCACCUGCUCACGACUCCUCAUGCUGUAAACACAGUCCAGUUCACCUACUCACAACUCCUCAUGCUGUAAACACAGUCCAGUUCACCUACUCACAACUCCUCAUGCUGUAAACACAGUCCAGUUCACCUGCUCAAGACUCAUCAUGCUGUAAACACAGUCCAGUUCACCUGCUCACGA